rnacentral:rRNA from 1 species
UACGUAGGGGGCAAGCGUUGUCCGGAUUUAUUGGGCGUAAAGAGCGUGUAGGCGGCCUGGUAGGUCAGCUGUGAAAACUCGAGGCUCAACCUCGAGACGCCGGUUGAAACCAUCAGGCUAGAGUCCGGAAGAGGAGAAUGGAAUUCCCGGUGUAGCGGUGAAAUGCGCAGAUAUCGGGAAGAACAUCCGUGGCGAAGGCGGUUCUCUGGGACGGUACUGACGCUGAGACGAGAAAGCGUGGGGAGCGAACAGG